rnacentral:rRNA from 1 species
UUUUGGGAAUUUUCUAAAGAGAACGUGUUUAUUAUUAAAGUAAUAUAAAGAAUUAAUAAAAUUAAUUGAACUGUGAAGGAGUUAUAUAAAAUUAAAAAUUACAAAGAUACCUUUUGUAUAAGGGUUUUAUAAAAUUUUAGGGAAACUUUAUUCCCGAAAAUAAGAGGGCUAAAAUAGUUUAACUCCUUAUGUGUAAGGAUAAGUAAUGAGACUAUUUUAGAAAUGAUAUUUUAAUCGGUCUUAAGGAUAUCUGGUUUAAAUAAUUAAAUACUUUAGUACUCUGCAGAGGUUUCAAGAAUACAUUUAAUUUUGUGCAGAGUAUAAAUCUUAAAGGGUAAUCUUUUAAGAUAAAUAAUUCCAUAAACAUAUCUUUUUAAUUAAUUUUUUUAGGCUUAAAAAAAGUUUAAACUAAAUAAAGUUAUUUUAUCAAUUUUAAAAAUUAGAUUUUUUAAUGUUUUGGUUACACUAAAUUAAUUUAUUUUAGAACUAUGAAAAAUUAUUAAUAAUGUAAAAAUGAGUAAAUAAAAAUUUUUAAAAUAAAAAUUAUUACUUUUAAAAAUAUGAAUUCGGCAACUAUACCUUAGGCUGUUUAACAAAAACAUUUCUUUUGGAAUAAUAUUUAAAGUAAAAUCUGCCCACUGUGUAAAUGAAGGGCCGCGGUAUUUUGACCGUGCUAAGGUAGCAUAAUCAUUAGUCUCUUAAUUAGAGAAUAGAAUGAAUGAUUAAACUAGGGUGUGCUUUAUUAUUGUUGAAGAAGUUGAAAUUUGAGUAUAAGUGAAAAUACUUAUAUAGUUCUAUUAGACGAUAAGACCCUAUAGAUCUUUAUUUUUAAUAAUUUAUAUAAUUUGGGGGAAUUAUAUAAGUAUCUUAAAAAUUUAAUUGGGGAAAUUAAAGAAUAGAAAAAAUUUCUUUUUAGGAAACAUUACAUAACAUAUAAUCUAAUUUUUUAAAAUUAAAAAGUUACCUUAGGGAUAACAGCAUAAUUGAGUUUGAGAGCUCUUAUUGAUGACUCAGUUUAUGACCUCGAUGUUGAAUUAAGAAGUCUUUAUGAGGCAGUACUUAUAAAAGAAGGUUUGUUCAACCAUUAAAUUCUUACAUGAUUUGAGUUCAAACCGGCGUGAGCCAGGUUGGUUUCUAUCUUUAGAUACACAAAAUUAGCUUAGUACGAAAGGACCAGUUUAAUUUUAAUAUUUGAAAUUAA